ACAGACCGUAACAAGAAGUUUGGCAUUUGCAUAUCCCUCCUCAUGGGAAGGAGCUUAUUUGGCGUUGUUUGCACUUCUUUCUUCCGAUUAAAAUUUGGCUUCUGAAAUGGGUAUUCCCGUUAUACAAGUAUGUUGGGAGGAGGAUGGGAAUGAGGACAUUGAACAUGCCUUGUUGAGCUGCCGUAAGGUGCAAGCUGUUUGGACUACAGCAACAAUACCUACGGAUGGGGUUACUUUGUCGGAUUUCUUGUCGGGAUUGCUGACUUAGUCGAUCAGUGAGGCUCAGGAGGCUUGUGUUGUUGUGGCAAAUGUUUGCAAAUGUUUCCAAUCAUUAUGAUCACAUCAUAAUUGAGUCGGAUUGUGUGUCAAUAGUGUAUGAUGUAUUAAAUCGAUGAUGAUUCGGAGUUUAACUGUUUAAUUUUAAAUUCCUUAAUGUUGAGUAUUUUGUUUCAGCACUUAUCCUUUAGUUGGGUGCGUCGAUUGACCAAUAAGACAACUCAUUUGCUUUUUCGGAUACCCUUAUUACAUGCAAAUCACAUUGAAUAG
rnacentral:lncRNA from 1 species